rnacentral:rRNA from 1 species
GACGAACGCUGGUGGCGUGCUUAACACAUGCAAGUCGAACGGAAAGGCCCUGCUUGCAGGGUACUCGAGUGGCGAACGGGUGAGUAACACGUGGGUGAUCUGCCCUGCACUUCGGGAUAAGCCUGGGAAACUGGGUCUAAUACCGGAUAGGAGCCAUUUUUAGUGUGAUGGUUGGAAAGUUUUUUCGGUGUAGGAUGAGCUCGCGGCCUAUCAGCUUGUUGGUGGGGUAAUGGCCUACCAAGGCGGCGACGGGUAGCCGGCCUGAGAGGGUGGACGGCCACAUUGGGACUGAGAUACGGCCCAGACUCCUACGGGAGGCAGAAGUGGGGAAUAUUGCACAAUGGGCGCAAGCCUGAUGCAGCGACGCCGCGGGGGGGAUGACGGCCUUCGGGUUGUAAACUACUUUCGCUAGGGACGAAGCUUUUUGUGACGGUACCUAGAUAAGAAGCACCGGCUAACUACGUG